GAUGAACGCUGGCGGCGUGCCUAAUACAUGCAAGUCGAGCGAACGGACGAGAAGCUUGCUUCUCUGAUGUUAGCGGCGGACGGGUGAGUAACACGUGGAUAACCUACCUAUAAAACUGGGAUAACUUCGGGAAACCGGAGCUAAUACCGGAUAAUAUUUUGAACCGCAUGGUUCAAAAGUGAAAGACGGUCUUGCUGUCACUUAUAGAUGGAUCCGCGCUGCAUUAGCUAGUUGGUAAGGUAACGGCUUACCAAGGCAACGAUGCAUAGCCGACCUGAGAGGGUGAUCGGCCACACUGGAACUGAGACACGGUCCAGACUCCUACGGGAGGCAGCAGUAGGGAAUCUUCCGCAAUGGGCGAAAGCCUGACGGAGCAACGCCGCGUGAGUGAUGAAGGUCUUCGGAUCUGAAAACUCUGUUAUUAGGGAAGAACAUAUGUGUAAGUAACUGUGCACAUCUUGACGGUACCUAAUCAGAAAGCCACGGCUAACUACGUG
rnacentral:rRNA from 1 species